GCGCCCGUGGCUCAACGGACAGAGCAUCCGCCUACGAAGCGGGAGGUUGUGGGUUCGAAUCCCGCCGGGCGCGCCA
rnacentral:tRNA from 1 species